AUUGAACGCUGGCGGCAGGCCUAACACAUGCAAGCCGAGCGAGCGGCGGAAGGGUGAGUAAUGUAUGGGGAUCUGCCUGAUGGAGGGGGAUAACUACUGGAAACGGUAGCUAAUACCGCAUACCAUCAGAUCAACCCAUAUGGGAUUAGCUUGUAGGUGAGGUAAAGGCUCACCUAGGCGACGAUCCCUAGCUGGUCUGAGAGGAUGAUCAGCCACACUGGGACUGAGACACGUCCCAGACUCCGACGGGAGGCAGCAGUGGGGAAUAUUGCACAAUGGGCGCCAGCCUGAUGCAGCCAUGCCGCGUGUAUGAAGAAGGCCUUCGGGUUGUAAAGUACUUUCAGGCGGGAGACAUUACCGACAGAAGAAGCGACGACUAACUACGAGCAAGCAGCCGCGGUAAUAC
rnacentral:rRNA from 1 species